rnacentral:lncRNA from 1 species
GCUGGUUGGCUUCCUCUGUCAUCAGAGUUAAGUACCACCCCCUCUCCCAGCCACUUCUGGUCUGGAUCUUGUCUUCUGGUGCCCUGAUGGCGGCCACUCUUCAGUGACCCCUACAACCAGGAUUGACAGUUGUUUUGGGACAGGUCCCCCAGCUUGUCUGAGCCAACAGGGAGGUCCUUAGCCUUGUCACUUCUUCUUCAUUUCCAGCCUCUCCUGUGACUGGCUUGGCUCAGGCUAGGAGUCUGAAUGAAGGAGAGGAGAGACACCCUAUAAAACACCAUCUCUGUUUUAGACAUACUGAUGCCAGGCAGGAUGCCUGGGGCAUGUAUGGGCUCUAUACAGGCCUGCCUCAGGGGAGCGGGGAGCAGGGACCGGGUAAGGUGGCGACAGAAUUUGCUUGGGCACUGUAGCGUCGAGAAGUAGAGUGCCCCACCCUGCCACAUGCUGGGGCUGGCCUGUCCUAUGCUGUGACAUGCCACAGAGCUGCUGUACUGGAUCAUGAGACACCAGAAAAGGAAAGAAGAGGCUACUAGGAGAUCGGUCCACCAGUGGUACCCCAUGUGCCUGCCACCCCUCCCCAUGGAGUCAUCACACUCUCUAAGGCAGGCAGUCAUGAGUCUGGUCCCGGGAGCCCAAGUUACGCACCCCAACUCCCCCACACACCUCAGGUAACAGAUACAGGCAGACAGGGUCCUAUCCCAUCACUCUGGCUGCCCCCUG